UCGGGAAUUUUGGGCAAUGGGCGAAAGCCUGACGCAGCAACGCCGCGUGAGUGAUGAAGGCCUUCGGGUCGUAAAGCUCUGUCGGAGGGAACGAAUGCUCCUGAAGUUAACAGCCUCAGGAGGUGACGGUACCCUCAAAGGAAGCACCGGCUAACUCUGUGCCAGCAGCCGCGGUAAUACAGAGGGUGCAAGCGUUGUUCGGAUUUACUGGGCGUAAAGGGCGCGUAGGCGGCAAUUCAAGUCAUCUGUGAAAUCUCCGGGCUUAACUCGGAACGGUCAGAUGAUACUGCUUUGCUAGAGUGCAGAAGGGGCAAUCGGAAUUCUUGGUGUAGCAGUGAAAUGCGUAGAUAUGCGGAGGAACACCGAUGGCGAAGGCAAUCCCCUGGGCCUGCACUGACGCUCAUGCACGAAAGCGUGGGAGCAAACAGGAUUAGAUACCCAUGUAGUCCCUGAGCGGGCUGGCAAGGCGCAU
rnacentral:rRNA from 1 species